rnacentral:rRNA from 1 species
AAUGAACGUUGGCGGCGUGGAUUAGGCAUGCAAGUCGAGCGAGAAGCUUUUAAAAGAUACUUCGGUUGAUUUUGGAAGUGGAAAGCGGCGAAAGGGAGAGUAACGAGUAGAUUACGUACCCGAGGGUUUGGGAUAGCGGGGGGAAACCGCCGGUAAUACCAAAUAAUGUUUCCGAACCAAAGAUUUAUCGCCCUCGGAGCGGUCUGCUUACUAUUAGGUAGUUGGUGUGGUAAUGACGCACCAAGCCAAAGAUGGUUAGCGGGUGUGAGAGCAUGGCCCGUCUCACUGGGACUGAGACACUGCCCAGACACCUACGGGUGGCUGCAGUCGAGAAUCUUCCGCAAUGGACGAAAGUCUGACGGAGCGACGCCGCGUGCGGGAUGAAGGCCUUCGGGUUGUAAACCGCUGUCAUAGGGGAGGAAAUUUUGACCGAUCCUAAGAGGAAGCACAGGCUAAGUUCGUGCCAGCCGCCGCCGUAAUAC